rnacentral:tRNA from 1 species
GAGCCCGUGGCUCAAUGGGUAGAGCGGUGGACUUAUGAUCAACAGGUCGCGGGUUCG